GGGCACCCUCCCCUUGUCAGGAACUCUCAGCUGGAACUAAGAGGCUGUAGCUGUUCUCACUGCCUUUCUAUUUUCAUCUGUCUUGAACACUCCGUGCUGUGGUUUGAACUUACAAAGGGAUCCUGUGUUGGGAACUCAGUCCUCUGUGUGGAGAGGCUGGGAGUGGGACCUCGAAGACAUGGCUACAAGGAGAGAUCCAUAGAUAUUCUUUGUCAACAUUGUAUGAGUAUAUCUUACCUUCAGAGAGUUCACCACACAAACUGUUGGCAGGCAGGCACUGUGGAAAAUAUCAACCCCUCCAUGGAGUUCAUGUCCAAAGAUGCACAAGGUGCCUUUUGAUCACAAUGAAGGGCACUGUAAAGAAGAAUAACAGAAGAGGCUGAAAUGUAUGGAAAUUCACAUUCUUUUUUUAAUAAAAAUUUU
rnacentral:lncRNA from 1 species